AAAACGUGGUUUUUCUAAAAGAAAAACGAAAGUGAAAAUUUGAUUAAACGUUUUUCCUGUUUUAAGGGAAGUACAAAGGAUUAUUUGACCCGGGAGGAACUGUAAAGAACCAGCCAGACAGCCCGCCCGCCGAGCUGCCCACCCGGCCGAGCUGUACUUUGUGUAUGCCAACAUGCCGACAUGCUGUAAUUUCCAGAUUGGUUGCUGUAGCCACAGGGGAAUUUUCAAGGACAAGAACCAGUGCUGGUAAAAAUGUGGUCUCAUGUGGUUUUCCAUACCGGCUCUCAGCAAGGAUUUCAGAGAAAGGAAUACUGUCUCCAAAUCAUGAUGUGCCAAUAUGCUCCAGUUAGCUGCGCCUUUUUCCUCCCACCGGUAGUCCUGCAAUCUGAAUCCAAGAGAUGCAGCUCUGAAUCCAAUAUUUCAAAAGAAUGAAUAUAAAACUGAAGCCUUCAGGAAGUCAACGCCACCAUGGUAUUGAUUUACUCAGCUGUGAUGUACUCAGCUGUGAUGUAACAUGCCUUCAAGCCACUAUCCGAAGAACAUUCAGACAUUCUAAAUGGACCAUUGCCCUGUUGCCAUGGAAAUCAUUAUGAAGAGAAGCACACAAACUGUCACUUGUUUUGAAUACGAGAUGUACCACAAACUGACCAUAAACUUUUCGGAUGAUCUCUAUAUUUCAUCAGCCAAUUACGAUGUAAAUUUUACUGAAUAAUGACAAACAGUCUUACUCAUGAGCAUCUCUUACUCAUUCGUAUUCCACAACUAAACAUGCUUGCAAUUACACUGUGCCAUCUAUCAUAAUAUAGCAAUGCUGCAAUGACCACAUUUUUGUGCACCAGUUGUUGCUUCAUACUGAAACUUUUAUUGAAAAUUGUGCAUAAACACUGAUAACACAUAAAUGUUUCAUUCAUACAUUUGUAAAUGUUCUUUCAGUGUAUAUGUUGAUGAUGUUAAUACAUAUUUCAUUUGCAUUUACACAUGUGUUUAUUGCCAACCUCAUCAAAACAUGCAUAGUUUGCUCACAUACAUAUUUCCAACACAGACAUUUACUGGAUGUAUAUUACUACUUUUCCUUGAUUUCGAUAUGUAAAUAAAACAUUGUACUACUCGUUUGUACAAAACACUU